GAGAAGGGGUGCUCACCAAAUAAUUGGAAGUCAUAAGAGCGAAUUUAAUUACCCUGAGGUCACUGCUAUAUCUUUUGGAAGAAUUGAUAAAUGUUAUAUGCUCAU